UACGAAGGGGGCUAGCGUUGCUCGGAAUUACUGGGCGUAAAGCGCACGUAGGCGGAUUGUUAAGUCGGGGGUGAAAUCCUGGAGCUCAACCCCAGAACUGCCUUCGAUACUGGCGAUCUCGAGUUCGGGAGAGGUGAGUGGAACUGCGAGUGUAGAGGUGAAAUUCGUAGAUAUUCGCAAGAACACCAGUGGCGAAGGCGGCUCACUGGCCCGAUACUGACGCUGAGGUGCGAAAGCGUGGGGAGCAAACAGG
rnacentral:rRNA from 1 species